rnacentral:rRNA from 1 species
GACGAACGCUGGCGGCGUGCCUAAUACAUGCAAGUAGAACGCUGAAGGAGGAGCUUGCUUCUCUGGAUGAGUUGCGAACGGGUGAGUAACGCGUAGGUAACCUGCCUGGUAGCGGGGGAUAACUAUUGGAAACGAUAGCUAAUACCGCAUAAUAGUAGAUGUUGCAUGACAUUUGCUUAAAAGGUGCAAUUGCAUCACUACCAGAUGGACCUGCGUUGUAUUAGCUAGUUGGUGAGGUAACGGCUCACCAAGGCGACGAUACAUAGCCGACCUGAGAGGGGGGUCGGCCACCCUGGGACUGAGACACGGCCCAGACUCCUACGGGAGGCAGCAGUAGGGAAUCUUCGGCAAUGGACGGAAGGCUGACCGAGCAACGCCGCGUGAGUGAAGAAGGUUUUCGGAUCGUAAAGCUCUGUUGUAAGAGAAGAACGAGUGUGAGAGUGGAAAGUUCACACUGUGACGGUAUCUUACCAGAAAGGGACGGCUAACUACGUG